AAACAAAAUUAUUCGCCAGAGAACUACUAGCAACAGCUUAAAACUCAAAGGACUUGGCGGUGCUUUAAACCCUCCUAGAGGAGCCUGUUCUAUAAUCGAUAAACCCCGAUAGACCUCACCACCUCUUGCUAAUUCAGUCUAUAUACCGCCAUCUUCAGCAAACCCUUAAAAGGAACAAGAGUAAGCACAAUCAUCUUGCAUAAAAAAGUUAGGUCAAGGUGUAACCCAUGGGGUGGGAAGAAAUGGGCUACAUUUUCUAUUCAAGAACAACUUACGAAAGUUUUUAUGAAACUAAAAACUAAAGGUGGAUUUAGUAGUAAAUCAAGAAUAGAGAGCUUGAUUGAAUAAGGCAAUGAAGCAUGCACACACCGCCCGUCACCC
rnacentral:rRNA from 1 species